rnacentral:rRNA from 1 species
GACGAACGCUGGCGGCGUGCCUAAUACAUGCAAGUUGAGCGCUGAAGGUUGGUACUUGUCCCAACUGGCUGAGCAGCGAACGGGUGAGUAACGCGUGGGGAAUCUGCCUUUGAGCGGGGGACAAAAUUUGGAAACGAAUGCUAAUACCGCAUAAAAACUUUAAACACAAGUUUUAAGUUUGAAAGAUGAAAUUGCAUCACUCAAAGAUGAUCCCGCGUUGUAUUAGCUAGUUGGUGAGGUAAAGGCUCACCAAGGCGAUGAUACAUAGCCGCCCUGAGAGGGUGAUCGGCCACAUUGGGACUGAGACACGGCCCAAACUCCUACGGGAGGCAGCAGUAGGGAAUCUUCGGCAAUGGACGAAAGUCUGACCGAGCAACGCCGCGUGAGUGAAGAAGGUUUUCGGAUCGUAAAACUCUGUUGGUAGAGAAGAACGUUGGUGAGAGUGGAAAGCUCAUCAAGUGACGGUAACUACCCAGAAAGGGACGGCUAACUACGUG